GUGUGACCUCAAAUCAGGUAGGAUUACCCGCUGAACUUAA
rnacentral:rRNA from 1 species